UACAGAGGGUGCAAGCGUUGUUCGGAAUUACUGGGCGUAAAGGGUUCGUAGGUGGCCACUUAAGUCAGACGUGAAAUCCCUCAGCUUAACUGGGGAACUGCGUCUGAUACUGGAUGGCUUGAGUGCAGGAGAGGAAUGCGGAAUUCCAGGUGUAGCGGUGAAAUGCGUAGAUAUCUGGAGGAACACCGGUGGCGAAGGCGGCAUUCUGGACUGUAACUGACACUGAGGAACGAAAGCCAGGGGAGCAAACGGG
rnacentral:rRNA from 1 species